rnacentral:lncRNA from 1 species
UGGCUGCACUCUCUUCUCUUCCAGCUGUGAGAUAUCGGUGGGCGAGGAUGUGAUGCCUGAAGAUGUGGCAUCUACCUUGAAACAGUCAAGGACCUGAGGAUGAAGCCAGCAUCUGAGGAAGACAGACAGAAAGGAUCUGGAUACAUCAUGAGCCUGAAAAGUAUCUUGCAUACACAACUGGCAGCACAGAAUCCUGACAAACCUCUCAUCAGAAAUCAACCACAGACUCUUUAUGCUCUUACCAAAAUGCUGGCUUUGAGAA